GGUGAUAAGGAUCGAUCGAGAAGUUUUGAAGUACGAGGUGGGCAAAGAAGUGAUCGUGAGUAAACUAUGAGUCGAAUAAGUUGCUCGACCAUAGUUAGAAGAUGUCUUACAUUGAUCAGACGGACGUUUUGGAAGCACAACAUUUAUGGAAGCACGGCGUUUCAGAAGCUCGACGUUUUUGAAGACCGAUGUUUCUUCAUCACGAAGUUUUCUCGGAAAAUCUUCGUAUCAGUAAAAUAUUAUUCUGGAGACAUAAUAAGUUGGAAGCAGGAUGGGAAUUAAGCAGGACAGGAUCGAAGCACGACGGGAAAACCCGAAAUUGGGUGAAAACCCUAAUUUCGGUAUUAUUGAAUUCUUCGAGGAAGCCGGAGGCUCAGGAAAUAUUUUUACAGGAUAUCAGAAUUCAUCUGGAGUCUAUUAAAAAUAUUUAGAGCAUCAGAAUGGGAGCGGAAAAAUAUUCGGGAUUGAUCACGGGUUAGAAAUCUGCCGGAAGGGUCAAAAAUCGUGUAAACCGACCAAGAAGUUCGAGUUGUCUCUACGUAUAUGGCCAGGACGUGAUAACUACCAUCUAAGC
rnacentral:lncRNA from 1 species